UACAGAGGUCUCGAGCGUUAGGCGGAAUCACUGGGCUUAAAGCGUGUGUAGGCGGGCGGGCAAGUACCUUGUGAAAUCCCACGGCUCAACCGUGGAACGGCUGGGUAUACUGCCUGUCUUGAGCCAGCUAGGGGCGACCGGAACAGACGGUGGAGCGGUGAAAUGCGUAGAUAUCGGGAGGAACAUCAGUGGCGGAAGGCGGCCAUCUGGGACAACACUGACGCUGGAGGCACGAAAGCGUGGGGAGCAAACAGG
rnacentral:rRNA from 1 species